rnacentral:rRNA from 1 species
UACGUAGGGGGCAAGCGUUGUCCGGAUUUAUUGGGCGUAAAGCGCUCGCAGGUGGUUCGUUGCGUCGUGCGUGAAAGACCCCGGCUCAACUGGGGAGUGUCGUGCGAUACGGGCGGACUGGAGGCCAGUAGGGGGAUGCGGAAUUCCGGGUGUAGUGGUGGAAUGCGUAGAGAUCCGGAGGAACACCAGCGGCGAAGGCGGCAUCCUGGACUGGUCCUGACACUCAUGAGCGAAAGCGUGGGGAGCGAUCCGG